rnacentral:rRNA from 1 species
UACGUAGGGUGCAGGCGUUAAUCGGAAUUACUGGGCGUAAAGCGUGCGCAGGCGGUUUGCUAAGACAGGUGUGAAAUCCCCGGGCUUAACCUGGGAACUGCCUUUGUGACUGCAUGGCUAGAGUACGGUAGAGGGGGAUGGAAUUCCGCGUGUAGCAGUGAAAUGCGUAGAUAUGCGGAGGAACACCGAUGGCGAAGGCAAUCCCCUGGACCUGUACUGACGCUCAUGCACGAAAGCGUGGGGAGCAAACAGG